AGUCGUACGCUUCUUUUUCCACCGGAGCUUGCUCCACCGGAAAAAGAAGAGUGGCGAACGGGUGAGUAACACGUGGGUAACCUGCCCAUCAGAAGGGGAUAACACUUGGAAACAGGUGCUAAUACCGUAUAACAAUCGAAACCGCAUGGUUUUGAUUUGAAAGGCGCUUUCGGGUGUCGCUGAUGGAUGGACCCGCGGUGCAUUAGCUAGUUGGUGAGGUAACGGCUCACCAAGGCCACGAUGCAUAGCCGACCUGAGAGGGUGAUCGGCCACAUUGGGACUGAGACACGGCCCAAACUCCUACGGGAGGCAGCAGUAGGGAAUCUUCGGCAAUGGACGAAAGUCUGACCGAGCAACGCCGCGUGAGUGAAGAAGGUUUUCGGAUCGUAAAACUCUGUUGUUAGAGAAGAACAAGGAUGAGAGUAACUGUUCAUCCCUUGACGGUAUCUAACCAGAAAGCCACGGCUAACUACGUGCCAGCAGCCGCGGUAAUACGUAGGUGGCAAGCGUUGUCCGGAUUUAUUGGGCGUAAAGCGAGCGCAGGCGGUUUCUUAAGUCUGAUGUGAAAGCCCCCGGCUCAACCGGGGAGGGUCAUUGGAAACUGGGAGACUUGAGUGCAGAAGAGGAGAGUGGAAUUCCAUGUGUAGCGGUGAAAUGCGUAGAUAUAUGGAGGAACACCAGUGGCGAAGGCGGCUCUCUGGUCUGUAACUGACGCUGAGGCUCGAAAGCGUGGGGAGCAAACAGGAUUAGAUACCCUGGUAGUCCACGCCGUAAACGAUGAGUGCUAAGUGUUGGAGGGUUUCCGCCCUUCAGUGCUGCAGCUAACGCAUUAAGCACUCCGCCUGGGGAGUACGACCGCAAGGUUGAAACUCAAAGGAAUUGACGGGGGCCCGCACAAGCGGUGGAGCAUGUGGUUUAAUUCGAAGCAACGCGAAGAACCUUACCAGGUCUUGACAUCCUUUGACCACUCUAGAGAUAGAGCUUCCCCUUCGGGGGCAAAGUGACAGGUGGUGCAUGGUUGUCGUCAGCUCGUGUCGUGAGAUGUUGGGUUAAGUCCCGCAACGAGCGCAACCCUUAUUGUUAGUUGCCAUCAUUUAGUUGGGCACUCUAGCAAGACUGCCGGUGACAAACCGGAGGAAGGUGGGGAUGACGUCAAAUCAUCAUGCCCCUUAUGACCUGGGCUACACACGUGCUACAAUGGGAAGUACAACGAGUCGCGAAGUCGCGAGGCUAAGCUAAUCUCUUAAAGCUUCUCUCAGUUCGGAUUGUAGGCUGCAACUCGCCUACAUGAAGCCGGAAUCGCUAGUAAUCGCGGAUCAGCACGCCGCGGUGAAUACGUUCCCGGGCCUUGUACACACCGCCCGUCACACCACGAGAGUUUGUAACACCCGAAGUCGGUGAGGUAACC
rnacentral:rRNA from 1 species